rnacentral:rRNA from 1 species
UACAGAGGUCUCAAGCGUUGUUCGGAUUCAUUGGGCGUAAAGGGCGCGUAGGCGGCCACCGCAAGUCGGUUGUGAAAUCUCUGGGCUUAACCCAGAAAGGUCAACCGAUACUGCGGGGCUAGAGUGCAGAAGGUGCAACUGGAAUUCUCGGUGUAGCGGUGAAAUGCGUAGAUAUCGAGAGGAACACCUGCGGCGAAGGCGGGUUGCUGGGCUGACACUGACGCUGAAGCGCGAAAGCUAGGGGAGCGAACGGG